AAAGCUCUGCAAUACCAUCUCUAGAGUUUAAAACAUAAACCAGCAUAUUAAUGUUGCUAAAUCCAGAGAAAAUUAUGUUCCUUUGACCCUUGUUUGAAGGUUUUAAUUAAAUAUACAAACAUGUUUUGUUUUUUUUUUGUUUGUUUGUUUUUUUGUUUUUUUUUUUUAAACAGACUUAUAUUUUAUUUCAUCUGCUAAACGUCAGAGAGCAAGUUAGAUACACAUUCCACAAAGCGUCAAAGGCCCUCGUAGUCUCGGUGGAAGGAUAAACUCCAGCUCCACAUCACUGGUUUAAGUUUCUUCCUCUUCUUCUUCCUCUUCCUCAUCCUCCUCUUCCUCCUCGUCUUCAUCAGAGCUGAAGGUGCCAUCAGGGAGGCUGUAGCUGUUGUUCUUCAGCUCCGUGGCAAUGACGGCCCCUCGCUGAGAGUCCAGCUUCUGACGCCAGUCAACGCCGUUACAGUGCCUGGAAUCCCACUCAUUCAGUGUCUUGAUGUUGAUGAAGGACACUUCCCCGUUGGCUCCAGUCAUGAUGCCAUCAUGCUCACAACGGACAAUAAGGUCAAUGUCGUCUCCAAGCUUCCACCUGCGGUAACGGUAAGCAACAGAGGCGAUUUCAUUCUUAUCCAUGUCGUCCUCUACAAACGGGUUUGGGUUGGGGAAGUUGUAUCUUUCCUUCCCCAUUCUUAAGCACUGCUGGGAGAAAUUGUGGUUGAUGUAGGUUGCCUCCAUGGCCAGGUUGCGGGGUGAAUUGAAGGAAUUACCUUCAUCUUGAGGGGGCUCAUUGGCAGUCUCACUCACUGUCAGGAGGUCAAAGUCAGAGUUGUCUCUCUUGUCAAAGAAGAGUUUGGAUCCAACUCUCUGGACGACAAUAUCCCAGGAAUACACUGAGCGGGUACAGCUCAUCAGCGUGGCCAGGAUGGCAUCAGUGGCAAACACAUUCCCCUGAGUUUUUGCCAGCUUGCGGAUGACAGGGUCGUCUGUGGUGGUGACGGUGUGGAAGAUGCGCUUGAUGCUCCGCAGCGGCUUCUCGCUCCUCGUGGUGAUGCGGUCAAAGGCUUUGUCGUAGUAUUCCAGGGCCCCGCAACACUCGAUGUCCUGUGGCUCUGAUACUUCCAAGUAGCGCAUCUUCAUCAACUGAGGAAAAUCCAUUUCCUCUUUCACCUCCCAGUCACUACGAACUUCAACUGAAGAGUCUCGGGGUUUCUGUGAUUUCUGAUCCCAUUUCUGCCUAACCCCAAAUUGCUUCUGGAACUUUUUCUGCAGUCGAAUGCGUUCUCUCUCUUUCUGUUUGGCACUCUUAGGCAGGAUCUGCAGGUUGAACUGCAACAUGUUCCGACGAUCUUUGUCUCUGCGGAGGUUCCUCUGGGCAAAUCUCAUCCGAUUCCGCUGGUAGGCCGUCUUCUGUGUGCGUGCUGUAUCCACCAGCUGGAAGCUGCUUUCAUCCUCCUCGUGGAAAUAAGCAUACUGACUUCCACCACCAAACUGAGAGGAGUACUUAUUUGUGUACCUCUUAUCUUGGUACGUGGCUCCUGUCCAGUCUGCGACCUUUCCUAGCCGAUCUCCUUUGCUGAACGGCUGGUAGGGCAUAUCCCGAAACUGCUCGGGAACCGCGCAGGGACCCCAGCCGGAGGGGUUGUCCUGGAUCACGGGUGUCAUGAACUUUGCCAUCUUCCAAAACCUGUAACGG
ensembl:lncRNA